ensembl:lncRNA
AGUUUGCUUGUUUUACCUUGAAGUUAUAUGCAUCGGUUAGGGGUGGGGUUUUCUCCCAGGAGACAGAGUGCAGCUGGAAGUCACAUAUUUGCAAAAUGGAGGACAAUGUUCUCAACAUGGCGCUGGUAUUGCUAAGCUGCUGAGUUGGGUCUCACAGCCACCAAACAGAUGGACCAGAAAGGCUUGGCCAAGUGCUGAGCAGUUCUGCGGGGCCACCUGGUUGUCCACUACUAUGAGCUGAGGGCCACACAAGGGUCCUUGCACCCACUUGCAAACCCCAAGGCUCCACGGCUGCUGACAAGGAAAACUGUGGACCGUGCUGCAGACAGAGCCCUGUGGCAACAGCUCCUGGAAGCCUGGGGUCGUCCACCUGAGUCACCGAGGAGGACCUGCUCUUAACCCGGCCUGACCCAGCGUCACCUGACUCCAACUCCCAGUGCGUCCCCAGUCAUGCACACGGCAGACAAGCAAGGUUAUCCCGCAAACCUGCUGGGAUGGCAGUGUGCUCAGCCACAGGAGAGCUGAUUCCUGCCGCGCCCACAGUCCUGUCAUUGGCUUCCUGGGACGCGCGGUACACGGCACAUGCUAGCUAGGGCCUACUGGGGUCCCAGGUGAGGAAGGCACGAGUGAUCUGGGCUGUCACAGCAACAGUCAGGACUGUCACCGCUGGCAGGCAGAGCUUCCAGACCAGUCACCAGGACACCAGGCUGCAUUCCUGCGAAUCUGACUAAAGGGAACAGGUGGCUUCCUGGCAGGUCAGCAUGGAUAAUGGUGGCUUCCUGGCUGGUUCCCUGACUUGUCACCAUAGACAACGCUUGGCUUCCUGGCAGGUCACCAUGGAUGUUUCUCUGGUUGUCACCAUGAAUAACUGUCAGUUCCCUUGUUGACCACUGACCAGCCAGAGAACCAACCAUUACCCACAACUACUUACCCACUCUCAUUUGCCAACGCACCACCUUACUUAUCCAACUGCUGACCUGGACCUCAUAACAAACUCUCUGUGUACAGCAUCCAGUCUGGACCUCUUGAUGCUGAGCCUUACAGAGCAUCCAGGAGGCUUUUAUAAGUGAAGGACUUUGCAGAGAAACAGAGAGCUCUCUCUGGGGUGUAUGCUGCAAGUAUUUUCUGCUCUCUUGGUUUAGUCUUAAUUUUAUGAUGUUUCCUAUCAUGCAACUUUAUUUGUACAAAAUCCAGUUUACCAAUCCUUUUUCUUAAUGCCCCUGCAUUUUGAGUUAUACCCUUGCCUAAAACAGGAAAUCGUCUGUAUCUUCUGCUAGUACUGGUAUGGUUGCACUUUUCACCACCUGAUCUAACUGGAUUUCAUUCUUGCACAUGGAAAGAGAUGCGGAUCUAAUUUCAUCUUCUUCCAAAUGGCAGUCCAGCUGUCUCAGCACCAUUUUUUAGAAGAUGAAUCUCUGCCUGGUGACCUGACACCUCUGCCACUUGCGGAGUUUCCACACACGCUUGGGACUGUCUUGGAUUCUCUUUUCUACACCACUGGCCUAUUUAUUCAUGCUUAUACAACAGUGUUAACUAUCGAGGUUUGAUGGUGGAUGUUAGUGCUAUGAGGACUGGUUCCUCUUUACGCUUUUCUGUUUACCUGGUUAUUUUGGGUUUGUUUGGGCUUUUUUUUUUUGAGGCAGGGUCUCACUAUGUGGCCCUGAACUCAUAGGCUUGACCAAUCCUCCUGCUUCAGCCUGCCAAGUAACUGGACUUCAGGCACUCAUUUUCUGGCUAUUUUGUAUCCUUGUACAUUUUGUAUCUAUCUGUCUAUCUAUCUAUCUAUCUAUCUAUCUAUCUAUAGUAUCUCUACAUUUUAUAUACAUACAUUUUGUAUCUAUAUACAUUUCAGAAUCAACUUGCCUAACUCCAUAAAAUAACUUGAUUAGAGACUGCUUUGUAUGCGUAUAAAGGCAUUUGGGGAGAACUGACAUGUUUGUUUAGCUCUCCUAUCAAGACUGAGAGAUGUCUCUCCAUGUGUCCAACUCGAUUUUUGUGUCUUUAGAGACAUUUAAAAUUUCACUGUGGAGGUCUGCACAUUUCUUAUUAAACAUGUUCCUAAGCACUCUCCUCUGCUGCUAUUGCAAAUGGGCUUUUCCUCUCUGACAUCUUCUGUUAUUGUUCACAUACAG